rnacentral:rRNA from 1 species
GAUGAACGCUGGCGGCGUGCCUAAUACAUGCAAGUCGAGCGAACAGACGAGGAGCUUGCUCCUCUGACGUUAGCGGCGGACGGGUGAGUAACACGUGGAUAACCUACCUAUAAGACUGGGAUAACUUCGGGAAACCGGAGCUAAUACCGGAUAAUAUAUUGAACCGCAUGGUUCAAUAGUGAAAGACGGUUUUGCUGUCACUUAUAGAUGGAUCCGCGCCGCAUUAGCUAGUUGGUAAGGUAACGGCUUACCAAGGCAACGAUGCGUAGCCGACCUGAGAGGGUGAUCGGCCACACUGGAACUGAGACACGGUCCAGACUCCUACGGGAGGCAGCAGUAGGGAAUCUUCCGCAAUGGGCGAAAGCCUGACGGAGCAACGCCGCGUGAGUGAUGAAGGUCUUCGGAUCGUAAAACGCUGUUAUUAGGGAAGAACAAAUGUGUAAGUAACUAUGCACGUCUUGACGGUACCUAAGCAGAAAGCCACGGCUAACUACGG